rnacentral:rRNA from 1 species
GACGAACGCUGGCGGCGUGCCUAAUACAUGCAAGUCGAGCGAGCUUGCCUAGAUGAUUUUAGUGCUUGCACUAAAUGAAACUAGAUACAAGCGAGCGGCGGACGGGUGAGUAACACGUGGGUAACCUGCCCAAGAGACUGGGAUAACACCUGGAAACAGAUGCUAAUACCGGAUAACAACACUAGACGCAUGUCUAGAGUUUGAAAGAUGGUUCUGCUAUCACUCUUGGAUGGACCUGCGGUGCAUUAGCUAGUUGGUGAGGUAACGGCCCACCAAGGCGACGAUCGGUAGCCGGACUGAGAGGUUGAACGGCCACAUUGGGACUGAGACACGGCCCAG